AACGCUAGCUACAGGCUUAACACAUGCAAGUCGAGGGGCAGCAUGAACUUAGCUUGCUAAGUUUGAUGGCGACCGGCGCACGGGUGAGUAACACGUAUCCAACCUCCCGCAUACUCGGGGAUAGCCUUUCGAAAGAAAGAUUAAUACCCGAUGGUUUCAAGAGUUUGCAUGUAAACUUGAAUAAAGAUUCAUUGGUAUGCGAUGGGGAUGCGUUCCAUUAGGUAGUAGGCGGGGUAACGGCCCACCUAGCCGACGAUGGAUAGGGGUUCUGAGAGGAAGGUCCCCCACAUUGGAACUGAGACACGGUCCAAACUCCUACGGGAGGCAGCAGUGAGGAAUAUUGGUCAAUGGGCGCGAGCCUGAACCAGCCAAGUAGCGUGAAGGAUGAAGGUCCUAUGGAUUGUAAACUUCUUUUAUACGGGAAUAAAGUGGUCCACGUGUGGACUUUUGCAUGUACCGUAUGAAUAAGCAUCGGCUAACUCCGUGCCAGCAGCCGCGGUAAUACGGAGGAUGCGAGCGUUAUCCGGAUUUAUUGGGUUUAAAGGGAGCGCAGACGGGGGAUUAAGUCAGUUGUGAAAGUUUGCGGCUCAACCGUAAAAUUGCAGUUGAUACUGGUUCCCUUGAGUGCAGUUGAGGCAGGCGGAAUUCGUGGUGUAGCGGUGAAAUGCAUAGAUAUCACGAAGAACUCCGAUUG
rnacentral:rRNA from 1 species